rnacentral:misc_RNA from 1 species
UUUCCGUAGGUGAACCUGCGGAAGGAUCAUUACAGUGUUCUCUGCCCUCACGGGUAGAAACGCCCACCCUUGUAUAUUAUAUUUUUGUGGCUUUGGCAGGCCGCCCUCGGGCACCGGCUCCGGCUGGCUCGCGCCCGCCAGUGGAAACCUAAAUUUUGAAUGUUAGUGUCUUCUGAGUACUAUCUAAUAGUUAAAACUUUCAACAACGGAUCUCUUGGUUCUG